GAAGAAAAGCCUUGCUACUGUGCGUGUUUAUUGGUUUAACUUUGCAUAAAUAAAGUUGUUUCAUUAACAGAAGCCACGUGUCUUCUUAAAAUUAAUUCGAUAACGAAUCCGGAAUUAAUACGAAAUCGGUUUUAGUUUUGUCGAUGACAAAAUAUACGUCACAUUUUUACGUCACGGAGGCAGAAGAUCGAACUGCAGGAUGGAUUUAGCAGAGGCAUGCAUUGGCUGCUUGACAUAUCCCUGGAAGAGGACACCAACUAGCUAACACAGUCAAUGACAGAUGUCUCUUUGAAUUGAUAAAAUCAUAAUCAAAUGGAUAUAAUACUGAAGUUUCAAAGAUCUGUUUUGAUGUAGCCUGAAGAUUUUGUAAUGAAUGAUCCAGGAUCCAAAAGUUCUUCGCAGGAGUUCAAAGACAGUUGCAAUGUGGUUGCUAAUUUAGUGACAGAUUAAGAAAGAAGUUCAAACAAGCAUUGUCAUGGGAAAACAUGAAAAAAUAAGAAGUUGGAGGUGGACAAAAAUCAGGAUGAAUAUACUAGAGAAACUAUUAAAGCACAGAAGAAUGACAACAAUAUAAAUCUAAAUGUAAUCAUUCAAGGAAUUAAAUUCAUUUUUAAUCUCGAAACUGUCUUUUUUCUGUAACUCUAGCUUUAGAUUAACAAGAAGCUGGAAAUACAAAAUGAAUGUUUCCAAAGAU